rnacentral:rRNA from 1 species
UACGUAGGUGGCAAGCGUUGUCCGGAAUUACUGGGUGUAAAGGGAGCGCAGGCGGGGAAGCAAGUCGGCUGUGAAAUGCAUAGGCUUAACCUAUGAAUUGCAGUUGAAACUGUUUUUCUUGAGUGGAGUAGAGGUAGGCGGAAUUCCGAGUGUAGCGGUGAAAUGCGUAGAUAUUCGGAGGAACACCAGUGGCGAAGGCGGCCUACUGGGCUCUAACUGACGCUGAGGCUCGAAAGUGUGGGGAGCAAACAGG